rnacentral:rRNA from 1 species
CAGCAGCCGCGGUAAUACGUAGGGGGCUAGCGUUGUCCGGAAUCAUUGGGCGUAAAGCGCGUGUAGGCGGUUCGGUAAGUCCGCUGUGAAAGUCGAGGGCUCAACCCUCGAAAGCCGGUGGAUACUGUCGGACUAGAGUACGGAAGAGGCGAGUGGAAUUCCUGGUGUAGCGGUGAAAUGCGCAGAUAUCAGGAGGAACACCAAUGGCGAAGGCAGCUCGCUGGGACGGUACUGACACUGAGACGCGAAAGCGUGGGGAGCAAACAGGAUUAGAUACCCUGGUAGUCCACGCUGUAAACGAUGGGCACUAGGUGUGGGGGGUGUCGACUCCCCCCGUGCCGGCGCUAACGCAUUAAGUGCCCCGCCUGGGGAGUACGGCCGCAAGGCUAAAACUCAAAGGAAUUGACGG